AUACGGAGGGUGCAAGCGUUAUUCGGAAUUAUUGGGCGUAAAGAGCGCGUAGGCGGCCUGUCAAGUCAGGUGUGAAAUCCCGGGGCUCAACCCCGGAAGCGCAUUUGAUACUGUAGGACUUGAGUAUGGGAGAGGGAAGCGGAAUUCCUGGUGUAGCGGUGAAAUGCGUAGAUAUCAGGAGGAACACCAGUGGCGAAGGCGGCUUCCUGGACCAAUACUGACGCUGAGGCGCGAAGGCGUGGGGAGC
rnacentral:rRNA from 1 species